rnacentral:rRNA from 1 species
UACGUAGGGGGCAAGCGUUGUCCGGAAUCAUUGGGCGUAAAGCGCGUGUAGGCGGCCCGGUAAGUCCGCUGUGAAAGUCCAGGGCUCAACCCUGGGAUGCCGGUGGAUACUGUCGGGCUCGAGUCCUGAAGAGGCGAGUGGAAUUCCUGGUGUAGCGGUGAAAUGCGCAGAUAUCAGGAGGAACACCGAUGGCGAAGGCAGCUCGCUGGGACGUGACUGACGCUGAGACGCGAAAGCGUGGGGAGCAAACAGG